UCCGAAUUGGUGUAGUGGCUAACAUUUGACGCUCUCAUCUUCGUUCUCUCAACUGAGAAAAAGUGCCGUCAAGCCCGGGGUUCGAUUCCCCGAUUCGGAG